rnacentral:rRNA from 1 species
UACGUGAGGGGCGAACGUUGUACGGUGUCACUGGGCUUAAAGGGUGCGUAGGUGGUUGCGUAAGUAAGGUGUGAAAUCCCUCGGCUUACCCGGGGAAUUGCAUUUUAUACUGCGUGGCUUGAGGACUAAAGGGGAAAAGGGAACUCCAGGUGUAGCGGUGAAAUGCGCAGAUAUCUGGGGGAAGGCCGGCGGCGAAGGCGCUUUUCUGGUUAGUACCUGACACUGAGGCACGAAAGCGUGGGGAGCAAACAGG